UUCUAUGGCCAUGCCACCCUGAACGUGCCCGAUCUCAUCUGAUCUUGGAAGUUAAGCAGGGUCGGGCCUGGUUAGUACUUGGAUGGGAGAAUACCAGGUGCUGUAGGCA
rnacentral:rRNA from 1 species